CCUACGGGAGGCAGCAGUGGGGAAUAUUGGACAAUGGGGGGAACCCUGAUCCAGCCAUGCCGCGUGUGUGAAGAAGGCCCUCGGGUUGUAAAGCACUUUCAGUGAGGAAGAACGCCUGGUGGUUAAUACCCAUCAGGAAAGACAUCACUCACAGAAGAAGCACCGGCUAACUCCGUGCCAGCAGCCGCGGUAAUACGGAGGGUGCGAGCGUUAAUCGGAAUUACUGGGCGUAAAGCGCGCGUAGGUGGCUUGAUAAGCCGGUUGUGAAAGCCCCGGGCUCAACCUGGGAACGGCAUCCGGAACUGUCAAGCUAGAGUGCAGGAGAGGAAGGUAGAAUUCCCGGUGUAGCGGUGAAAUGCGUAGAGAUCGGGAGGAAUACCAGUGGCGAAGGCGGCCUUCUGGGCUGACACUGACACUGAGGUGCGAAAGCGUGGGUAGCAAACAGGAUUAGAUACCCUUGUAGUC
rnacentral:rRNA from 1 species